GAUGAACGCUGGCGGCGUGCCUAAUACAUGCAAGUCGAGCGAAUGAUGAGGAGCUUGCUCCUCUGAUUUAGCGGCGGACGGGCGAGUAACACGUGGGUAAUCUGCCUGUAAGACGGGGAUAACUCCGGGAAACCGGGGCUUAUACCGGAUAACCAGAGAAGAAGCAAUUCUUCUUUUUGAAUGUCGCUUUUGGCUGACACUAACAGAUGAGCCCGCGGCGCAUUAGCUAGAGGGUGAGGUAACGGCUCACCAAGGCGACGAUGCGUAGCCGACCUGAGAGGGUGAUCGGCCACACUGGGACUGAGACACGGCCCAGACUCCCACGGGAGGCAGCAGUAGGGAAUCUUCGGCAAUGGGCGAAAGCCUGACCGAGCAACGCCGCGUGAGCGAUGAAGGCCUUCGGGUCGUAAAGCUCUGUUGUUAGAGAAGAACAAGUACGAGAGUAACUGCUCGUACCUUUACGGUACCUAACCAGAAAGCCACGGCUAACUACGUGCCAGCCGCCGCGGUAA
rnacentral:rRNA from 1 species